rnacentral:rRNA from 1 species
AGCGAACGCUGGCGGCGUGCUUAACACAUGCAAGUCGAACGGGUGUAGCAAUACACUCGUGGCGAACGGGUGCGUAACACGUGGACAACCUCCCUACAGGUGGGGAAUAACUCGCCGAAAGGCGAGCUAAUACCGCAUAACAUCUCGGGGGCACAUGCUCCUGAGUUCAAAGCCGCAAGGCGCCGGUAGAGGGGUCCGCG